rnacentral:rRNA from 1 species
AUUGAACGCUGGCGGCAUGCCUUACACAUGCAAGUCGAACGGCAGCACGGGAGCAAUCCUGGUGGCGAGUGGCGAACGGGUGAGUAAAGUAUCGGAACGUGCCCAGUCGUGGGGGAUAACGUAGCGAAAGUUACGCUAAUACCGCAUACGAUCUAUGGAUGAAAGCGGGGGAUCGCAAGACCUCGCGCGAUUGGAGCGGCCGAUAUCAGAUUAGGUAGUUGGUGGGGUAAAGGCCCACCAAGCCGAAGAUCUGUAGCUGGUCUGAGAGGACGACCAGCCACACUGGGACUGAAACACGGCCCAGACUCCUACGGGAGGCAGCAGUGGGGAAUUUUGGACAAUGGGCGAAAGCCUGAUCCAGCCAUGCCGCGUGCAGGAUGAAGGCCUUCGGGUUGUAAACUGCUUUUGUACGGAACGAAAAGGACUGCCCUAAUACGGUGGUCCCAUGACGGUACCGUAAGAAUAAGCACCGGCUAACUACGUGCCAGCCGCCGCCGUAAAAC